GUUAGCUUUCGCGUGCUACUGGAGAUUGAGUGAAGAUCUUCGAGGGGGAUGGACGACGGUCGGAAUGUCGAUGGAACCUGGGAGACGGAGAGCAGUCUGGUUUUCAGAGCUACCCAGUACGAGAACGAGGUGACGUUCGGAUGUCACGCUGAAAAUAUCGUGACGCGGCAGGAGAGCGUAAAACCGAUGAAAGAAACAAUUACUCUCGAAGUUUACUACCCACCGAUCGUCACCGUCAGCCCGGAGAACGUGACGGUCAACGAAUCGCAGGACAUUCGACUGUUCUGCGCGUACAUAGCCAACCCAGCAACGUUACUGAAAGCGAAAUGGCUGAAAGACGGUGUCGAAGUGAAUUUGAACGACGACCGUUUCGAGGGUGGUAUAACCGAGCAAACUACCCUACUGAUACGAAACGCGACCCCCACGGACAUGGGGAUGUACUCUUGCGUCCUAGAGAACAGCGUUGGCGAAUCAAAUUCCCAAGACGUAAUCGACGUCUCGGUUCUCUUCAGACCGGUCGUCGAGGUGUCUCUGGAACCGCAAACUCCGGUGAACGAGGCCGACAGAUUGAACGUUUCUUUAACGUGCGACGUGCAAUCGGGAAACCCGGGCGUAUUGACGGCUGUGAGGUGGUACCUGGACGGAGAUCUUCUCAAGGAAUUACCGGACUGCGUGAGCAACUCGACCCCGGCAACGAUCGCCGAUGAAUCAUCGACAUUCUGCGACAUCGAUCCGAGCAAAUUAUUGUUGGAAGUAGUCGGGAGAUCCUUUCACGGGAAAUACUCUUGCGAAGGUAGAAACGACGCCGGCUGGGGACCGAUAUCCGCCAGCAUACCGGUCGUCGUGUACUACAAACCCGGACCUGCCUCUAUAUCGUACGAGCCGCAGCAGGUUGUGAAAAAAGGUCGUCUGAAGAUAACUUGUUCCGUACUGGACGCGGGACGUCCGGAAGUAACGGGGUACAAAUGGACGCGAGGACAGCACCGACUACCCGACGAGAAUAAGCCGGUACUGAACAUAGAACCGGUGGACCUCGAGACUCAGGCGAACUUCACUUGUCUCGCUUAUAACGAAGCCGGUGACGGUGACGCGGCGACAAUUUUCAUCGAGGUUUCCGCGCCGCCCGCGUUCAUAAAAAAGCUACCGCCUUAUCAGGGAUUCGUCUACAACGCCGCGAACGUGAGCAUCGACUGCAGGGUGGAAUGCGUACCGUUGUGCAGUAUCUCCUGGUUCAAGGACAACGUGUCGAUGGACUUUACGAAUAACAAUCAUUAUUAUCUGUCGAACACGAUACACCCGCCCGAUCCGAGGACGAACGAUUUUCAGAGCAUACGAUCGGAACUGGUUUGGAAUCUGACGUCAUGGCCGAACGGCGAGUUGGACAGGAACACCGAUAACGGAAAAUUCACUUGCAAAAGCAGCGGGAACUCCAUAGGUCCUGGCGUCAUAAGUACAACCCAUUUCCACGUGGAAUUUCCUCCGGAGAACAUCAAUACGUCAAAGUCGGUGGUGGACGUUGUGGUCGACCAUAUACCGGAGACAGUUCUUUGCACCGUCAAGGCGCAUCCGGAACCAUCGUUCCAAUGGUACAAGGAGGGGUCUUCGGAAGUCAUAAGCUUUGGUAGUUCACUUGUUUUCGACGUCCCUAUGCCACGGCGGAGUACGGGCAGAUACAUUUGCGAAGCAUACAACCGACACGGAUCCCAAAGGGCGACGAUGUCCAUUAACGUUCAAUUCAAGCCGGAUUGUCGGAUCGACAAGCAGCGUAUAAACGGCGAUGAUUAUCUCGUUUGUUCGGCGGUGGCGAAUCCCGAAAAAGUCGAUUACGUAUGGAGCUUGAAGAACGAGAACGACACCCUGGAGCAGAUCUCGGAGGAACGUGAGGACAAGAAAAGCUACCUAUUCCUAAACCCGGCGAUCACAAACUUCCGGACGUACCAAUGCGUCGCUAAUAAUACGAUCGGCUCGUCCGUCGCCUGCGAAUUCAACAUGGCUGCCCGCGAUGGGAAUGACAGUAACCUCCCGUGGUACCAGAGGCUCGACGGAGAUCUUUUGUUGAUCGUGAUCAUCGUGGCCGUGGUGAUCCUGCUGGCGAUCGUCAUAAUCUGCGUAGUCAUCUUCCUGAUCUGUCGCCGCAAAAGAAAUCAAGCGAAGCAUCCAACUCAAGCAGCGAAUAAUAAUCACGUUGACAGUGUCUCGGAGGGUCUGCCGGAGCCGGAAACGAAAACCUUUUACGAAAAUCUUCCCUUCCACGGUAUCCAGACACCUCCGAACAAGACCGCCAACCUUUACAACUACCAAGAACAUUACCAGCAACACCAGCAAGAGCUGCAGCAGUACGGCUACCCUAUGGCCGGCGGCAGCUCGAACCAACUAACCCUUCCACUAACGCGUAGCCUUCAUCCCUCUUCGGGAGUGGGUCCCAAUCCCAUGCAGACAACAACGAUAACGUCGAACUGUUCGUCGAAUAACGCAGUACAACUGAACCACCGUCACUCGUUGCCGCGCGCCCUCGUACACGGGGACAUGGAGAUGGACUUGGUCCACGACAACCAGCCGAGACAGCAGCAGCAAAGCGGCGGUCGCAGGAACGAGCGUCGGAAAUACCGGAAACACGGCAACGAGAGGAAACCGAAGAAACAGCAGCAACACCGUCAGGAUCUCCGGCGGACCGAACCUCCCUACACCUUCUCGAGGGAGACCAGCUUCAAUCAGAAUCAUCAGGAACUCCGAGGAGUCGGCGGCGGUAUCAGGGAGAACACCUACAAGAUAUCCUACCCGCACUACUACGAGGACUCCAUCACCGAGUGCCCGCUCGGCUAUCCGUCCUACGAAGGGGUCCCGGGGGAGCAGCAGAGGGAACGGGAAGUCGUUGAUAGCAAGAACAAUAAGGCAAAUAACAAGGCUAACAAAUCGAAGAGGCACAUCGGCUCGUCAAGGGAUCUGCAAAAUCGGUCGCCUCCCGCGCCGCCGUCUACCCUUACCCCGAACCACCAGUACCCGGAAUUGCAAUUCCGAGACGUCGGUCAAGAGAUCGACGUCUGAAGGAGGGUCCGCAGGCAAAGAGCGAUACCUACAUUUACUAGAAGAAAUUCUUCGAUCAUUAGCCCUACAGACCGGAAUUCUCGG
rnacentral:misc_RNA from 1 species